UACGUAGGGUGCAAGCGUUAAUCGGAAUUACUGGGCGUAAAGCGUGCGCAGGCGGUUUGCUAAGACAGGUGUGAAAUCCCCGGGCUUAACCUGGGAACUGCGCUUGUUACUGGCAAGCUGGAGUGUGGCAGAGGGGGGGUGGAAUUCCACGUGUAGCAGUGAAAUGCGUAGAGAUGUGGAGGAACACCGAUGGCGAAGGCAGCCCCCUGGGCUAACACUGACGCUCAUGCACGAAAGCGUGGGGAGCAAACAG
rnacentral:rRNA from 1 species